rnacentral:snRNA from 1 species
AUUCUUUCGCAGAGGCGAUAUCAUAGCCUAUGAAGUCCAUCUGAGGCGUGAUUAUUGCUGGUUGAAAACUUAACCCAAUACCCCGCUUGGGAUGACUUGAAAGCGGGUUUGCAGAUUACCCAAAAU